GAUAAACGCUGGCGGCGCACAUAAGACAUGCAAGUCGAACGGACUUAACCGAAAGUUUACUUUUGGAGCGGUUAGUGGCGGACUGGUGAGUAACACGUAAGCAACCUGCCUAUCAGAGGGGAACAACAGUUAGAAACGACUGCUAAUACCGCAUAAGCCCACGACCCGGCAUCGGGUUGAGGGAAAAGGAGCAAUCCGCUUUGAGAUGGCCUCGCGUCCGAUUAGCUGGUUGGUGAGGUAACGGCCCACCAAGGCGACGAUCGGUAGCCGGACUGAGAGGUUGAACGGCCACAUUGGGACUGAGACACGGCCCAG
rnacentral:rRNA from 1 species